rnacentral:rRNA from 1 species
CGUCUUCUGAUCACAAGCAUAGAAGAUAAUGCCUGCCCAGUGAAAUUUAAACGGCCGCGUUAGCGUGAGCGUGCUAAGGUAGCGUAAUAAAUAGCCUCUUAAUUGGAGGCCAGUGAAAGGCAAGACUAGGAACACCUGUGCUCUUUAUACCAAAAAAAUUUUUCAUCUAAGUGAAAAGACUUAGAUACUAAAGGAAGACGAAAAGACCCCGCGGAACUUCAUCUUUUCUUACACUACUGCCCAGUAGCACAAAGAUGUAAAAGAUUUGAUUGGGGCAAUCUCGGAACUACCCAAGCUUCCGAUUCCUACUAAAACACAUCUAAAAUUUGGUACAGACAAAACAGCAGUUACCCCGGGGAUAACAGCGUCAUCCAACUUAAGAGUACACAUCGAAAGUUGGGUUUGCGACCUCGAUGUUGGCUUAAGGUUAUCCACAUUAGUGCAACCGCUAUGAAAGGACAGUCUGUUCGACUUAUAUACCCUU